GGGUUGGAUCACUAUAAGAUUCUAUGAAGAAGAACAUGGGUAAGCACUGAGCCGCCAAAACUUCUCACUUCUGUCACUCACGCAGUUCUACGAUCGGAGUCGGAGGCCUUCUAUACUCGAUCCGUCUGCUGCAUCUGGCUUAGCCUCGUUCUUCCUCUUGUUUCACAGAAUCUGCAAAGUUGGUCUUCGAUUUGAUUCUCCCAAAGCACCUUUAUUUUGUACUUUCUCAGUGGUGGAAAAAUCGAAUCUUGUUCGAGGUUCGAGCGUGCUCUUUCCCAUGAAGAAUCCUGUGGUUCCUCCUAAUUACGCCUUCGUCUGCGCUUCUUUGAUAAUCUUGUCGGUGGCUCCGGCCAUCUUUGCCAUACAGAAAAGCACUCACUUUCGUAUAAAUGAUAGAAGACCGCACAAUGUUAUGAUUGCGCUUGAUAAAUUUCUGAACGCCACAAGGGAAUGUUUUAAUAAGUUUGAGUUCAAUAAAGAACUAAUGAAUGAGAGUUUCAUGCUGCUCUAGACGGAAUAUGUCAAAAGAUAGACUGUCGUCCUCCUUUUUUUUUUAUGACUAUGGGAUGUUGUCAUCAUGGAUGACUUAAACCUAAAGGCUACAUUUGGUAGGGGAUAAUUUGUCUGGUAAUGUAAUCUAGAUUAUAUUUCAAAGUUGAUUAAUUUGUUUGAUUUCA